UUCGAUUCCUUCAAGCGAACAAUCCAAUUUGCGAUCGGCGACUUCCUAAGUUGAAGCAUUGCUUCAAUUUUGAGAAAAAGGUUAUCGGGUUUGAGCUGAGUUACAAAUCAUGAGGUUUAAACGGGGAAGCAAAGUUGAGGUAAUGAACAUGAAGCAGUCAUCUGCAUCACGGCGUCGUGCAGAGAAUCUCUCUGAUAAUGGGUAUAUGUGCACUGUAAGGUAUGAUUACUAUCCUGGAAUUGAAAG
rnacentral:misc_RNA from 1 species